CACGAGAAGCUAGGGUACCAUUUGUGGGGUAAAUAUUUCAAAGAUUGUCUUUAUCUGGCAGGAAGGUAACCACAAACUAAGAAUGGGAUUUCUUGAAAGGGACAGAAAGACAUUUUGCUAACAGCUGUGUGUUUGUGACAUCAUAGCAUCACCUUUCCCUGAAUUCCAAAUCAAAGCAUUUUAGUCACUGAAGAGGCAGAAGAGGGUAAUGGCUCAUGAAGCUGCUUGUGUGAAAUUUGAAGUUCUAGAAGAUUCUGAAUAACUAUAAAUUCCAGGUUGGGGGGAGAUGCUAUCUGAUUUUCAGUCUGCGUGUCUGUCCUCUCCCCAGAAUUUCACAGGUAGGAUGAGUGUAUGUCAGCUUGGCAUGAGAUGCUCUGUUUUGAUCCAUUUAAUUUAGACACUUGUUAUAACGUAAGUGCUUUUGCUUUCACUUUGGCAAUUGGCAUGCAAUUUUAAUUAGCACUUGGAACACAAUAGAAUGUGUUGAUGAAGCACAAGACAUGAAGAAAUACGUUCAUAAUGGCCUGUCUUGAGGACUCUGGCAGCAUCCAAAAAAGAUAUUCUCAGUGUACUGCACAGGAUUUCUGAGAACUCAGCCUGGCUGGCAUUUAUGCUCUUAUAUAUUAAUCAUCUCAGUGUUUUCAGAUGUCAAAAUAUUGGCAUGAGCAGAGUUGUCAUCUAUGCUGCACCAAGAAUACUAAUUUCUCUAUUAUCUUGAUAAAGUGGCCAAUGUAUAAAGAAACGAUGUAUUUUCUAUGCCUUGCCAGACUUCUCUUCCAACCUCGGCCAUCCAUGUCUUCCUAAGUUGUUAAGCCCCCGCAGCCAUCUCUUACCAGCAUUCCUCCUAUUGCUCGCUUGCUUCUGUUUAUAACUAUUUUCCGCCUCUGGCAACCUGAGACUGCGCUGCAUGGCAUUUUGUCAAAAAUGAUUCUCUUCCCUGUUGACUCUUUUGGUUAUUAACAUUGUCAACUUGACAGGACCUAGAGUCACCCAGGAGAAAAACUAUGGCGCAUGUCUGUGAUGGGGGUUCUAGAGUGGGUUAAUUCAUGCAGAAGACCCAUUCUGUAACAUCUUUCCGUGGUCCGGGGCCCAGCCUGAAAAGGAGAAAGCAAGCCAAAUACCAGCGUUCACUGCUCUCUGCCUCUUGUCUGCUGAUGCAAUGCGAGCAGUUGCCUCAAACUCCUGAGACUGCCCUCGCCAGCCUCAAACUGGGAGCCAAAGAAAACUCUUCCAAUAAAGUUUGUCACUCUGAUGUCUUGCCACAGCAACGAGAAAAUUAACUAAUACAAUUCUCAAUGCCAUAUCUGGUUUUUGGGUUUUUUGUUUGUUUGUUUGUUUUGUUUUUGUUUUUUGCUCUGUUUUUGUUUUUUUAAUUGCACUCCAUUGAAAGGUACAGGGCAAUGGACUAGAAAGAAUAUGCACAUCUUCACUGCACUAACAGAGGACGACUCUGUCUCCUUACCUGCCCUGGGGAUUGGAACCAAUUAACUUCUUUGAGCUUCUUUAAAUGAGGAUAAUGAUACCUGUUAUGCAGGAUUGUGGUCAAGAUGAAAUAACUUCCGUUCAUCAACUCAGCAUGUAUACAGAGCCCUAUGGCUCGUGGGUAAUUGUAAGUAUUGUUUACUGUACUUGCUACCAAGAACAUGAAGGUGAAUAGGCCAUGGCCAUGUCCUAAAGACUUUAAAGGAGGGACAGACAAGAAAAUAGGCAACUGUAUAAUAAUUUGUGAUGAAUGAGCAGGCAUUGUGAGGACAGGGUUCAAGGCCUUGGAGUGAGAGCGUCAGGAAGGAGAGUCGAGGGUGAAGCAUGUCCGAGUCAGAGCAGGCUCAAGUUUGAAACCCAAGGAGAGCUGCAGCUUCUCUGUGGUGGUGUGUGUGACUUAGGAUGGAGCUUAAAUAUCAGGAGGGGCCAUGCAAGCCGGGAGCUGCAAAUAUCAGGGAACCCAGGAAGGUCCUGGACCCUGGUUGUGAUUUAGGAAGAUCUCUUUCCUUUGCUGAGUGGUUUGAAAGAGUUCAGUGAACCAGUAUGACCAGUUAGGAGGCUGCAGUUGGAACAAAGUAAAGAUCACCUAGGCAGCAGUAGGAAUGGGGAAGACACCACCCACUGGGAGACUUAGCCAGAAAAGGGAGUGGGGUGAGUUAGAGAGAGGAAGGAAGGAAGGAGAAGAAACUUUAAGGAAAAUUCUAGGAUUUUUGCCUUGGGUUUGUGGCCCAUUGUGUGAUACAGGAAAUGCAAGAUGGACAAUUCAUAAGCUACAGUUGGUUGCUAUGUCUUAACUGUCCCUUCCAAGAAGUCAUGUUGGAAUUUUAUUGCCAUAGUAACAGUCAUAAGAGUGGAGCCUUUAUGUAGUGAUUAGGAUAUUAGGGUGAUGCUCUCAUGUCCAGGGUCAUGCAUCUACCUAGACAGUGUGCCCUGCUAUUGUGGACACCCUACCUUCUUUUCCUCUCUGUCUGUCUCCAUCUCUCGUGAGAAUGUGCAUAUGAAUGAACGUACUUUCUCACCAUGUUAUGAGUCAGUUGAAAGUCUUCUGAGCUGUGACGGCUAAUAUUGGCUCCACUUGACAGGAUCUUGAAGUAGCUAGGAGAAAAAGCUCUAGGCUUGUCUAAGUGGGGAGAUCCCUCCCCAAACAUCCUCAAUCAUCACCAUCCCCUGGAUUGAAGUGCUGAGAUGAAUAAAAAUGGGAAAAUAAGCUGAACACGAGCAAGCACUGCUUUCUGUUUCUCUGCUGAUGUACUAGGGACAGCUGCCUCACACUGCUGGUGCCGUGCAUUCUCUGCAAUGAUACGCAGUACUGUGGAACUAUGAGUCACAAUAAACCCUCUUUAAUGGUUAUCUUUGUUAACACAACCCAGAGCCACCUGGGAAGCUAGUGUUAGUGACAGUUGUCUACAUUGGGUUGGCCUGUGGACAUAUUUGUGGAGAUUGUCAUAAGUUAAUUGACAUGGGACGAGCUAUCCCACUAUGGGUGGUACCAUCCCCUAGGAAGAGGAUCCUGACCUUAGUAAGGGUGUAGAGUUUGAGCUGAGCAUAAGCAAGCAUGCACACAUUGAUUUCUCUCUGCUCUUGAAGGGCUGCUGCUUUAAGUUCCCACCACUUUGACUUUCUCACAAUAAUGGACUGUAACCUGGUAUCAGAAGAUAAAAUAAUCCGUUUUUUCCCUAAGGUUUUGUUUAUUUGGUUGGUUGGUUGGUUGGUUGGUUGGUUGGUUGGUUGGUUGGUUAGGGUAUUUUAUCACAGCAACAGAAAUGGACUAGAAUACCCUCCUUUCUCUAUGUUGCCUUUUGUCAGGUAUUUUGUAAUAAUGAGAAAGCAUCUAAUACACCAGCCUUCCAACCACAGCCAAACAACUUUCUGUUGUUUGUAAUUUAUCUAGUCUGUGAUUUCCUGUUGUGGCAGCAGAAAAAGAAAACUAAGAGUAAGGAGGAUAUAAAAUGAGUCAGAUACAGAAAUUAGAAUUCCAGCUGCCCCUCGGGGAAAGGAGGGCAUUUUUAUUUCAUUAUUUUGAACUCUAUAUAUUGUGCCCCUGAUUCACUUGUUACUACACAUGAAGACUCCAUCAUGAUAUGGCAUGGGAAGCAGUGAGGGACUUCGUGUUUGUUCUGGGAGAAGUCUCUAGUAUACCAUUCAGGAUCUUCAUCCCAUUUUCUAUGUGGCAGAUUAAAAUUCUUUCCUCUGGGACUUUUAUUGUACCAACAUUAUUUGCACCAGGACGUAGUCUUUCUCACGUGUAUUUUACAGUGAAGUGAAGUGAAGGCUUAGUAUAUCAAACUUCCUUUUCUUUGUCUUUCAAGUAUUUGCAGUUUAACCUCUUCCCAUGCUUAAAUCUCAUUUGAACAUAACUUUUUAUGAUGUCAAAUUUGUAGCAUCAAAUUUUAGACAUAUAAACUAUAAACACCUGAAUUUUAGACAUCAGAUCAUUUUGACUUUUCAUCAAGUCUCACGCAAUAUUUUUUAUUUUUAUUUUUUGCUGUUCUCAGAUGUGUUUACCUUAUUAAAAAAAAAGAUAUUUUCUUCAGAUAAUUAUUCCAGUGUUUGAAUUUGCCGAUGGCAAGAGCUUCUUUUUCCUUCCUUUUCUCCUUCCUUCCUUUUUUCUAUUUUUCUUUAAUUCCAUCUGUUUAUUUACUUGUGAAUACACAUGGAAGUCACAGGAUAAAUACCAUGUAGAAGUGGGCUUUCUUUUUGUACCAUGUGGGAUCUAGGGAUGCAGCCCAGGUCAGGUGGUCAGGCUUGGCUGCACGUGCCUCUAGCCUCUGCCAUCUUUCUGUUCUAUCAUAGGUGAUUUCAAAACCACCUUUCCAUUUUUAGGAGGCCUUUAGAUAGAUAUAGUUUAGCCCUUAACAGUUUCUUGUUAGAUCCUCAGAUCAAAAUUGUCUCUAGAUGAAUAUCAGCAUAGCUUAUGCUGUAUAUGAGAUACCCACAUAUCUAGGGAGAUGUCUGUGGAAACAGAUGUAUGGACACAAGAAUGGAGACCUGCUAAAAGAUCUGUGAAGUGGAUCUGGGCUUGGUGUCAUUUUCAUCUAUGAAACCCAAGCAAAUGAUUGACAUCUCAGAAUGGGAAACGUAUCAUGAGAGAAGAUUACCCUCCAAACCUAGGAGGACCAGUACUAUUGUAGCAUGAGAUAGGGAAAGGGGAUGAAAGCACGGGGGAAGACUAAAAGGGAAGGAAGGUGGCCAUACAAAGAGGAAAGGCUACACAGAAACCCACAGGAGGAGGGAAUCCAGCCAAGGAGGAGGAAGUGGUCACUGAGGCUAGCUGCUGGUUCAGAUUUAGCCACAGCAGUAUAACAAUGAGGAUGCCCGCGUCCUCAAUGAGAGCCAUCUCGUGAGUGGAGAAAGAUCCAUACUGCAGCUUUUACACGAGUCAUGUGGGUGGAGGUACGCUUGCUUCAAGAAGGGCAGUAUGCAUAUUUCCCAUUACUAUGGAAGAGACUUGAGCAUGAUGAGGUCUUGAGGAGUUGAAGGGGAGAGGAUGAUCUUAGAUGAGAGUUGGAUUCCCUGAUUAUCAUAGGAAGCACCUAGUCUCCUCUGUACGAUGGUUUUACACUUGUCUAUCUGCCAGCAUCUCCGGGUUUGGGACCCUGCUGCCAACAUUAUUCACCAGCCUCAUUUAAUUCUACUUUGGUUUUCCCUCCUGCCUCUGAUACUUUCUGCAGACCAAGUAUUAGCCAGACACUAGUUGUUUAGCAUUUAAAAGACUCACUGGACUGGAGAGUUGGCUUGGUACAUAAAAUGCUUGUUGUGCAAGCAUGAGAAUCUGGGUUCAGAUCCCUAGCAUCCACAUUAAAAUCUGAAAUUUGGGCACACAGUAUAUGCAUACAUAAAGCAUACAUCCAUCUCAGUGCAAGGAAUCUAUUCCUAAUCCAGAGUCCUGUUAUCACUCACACAGCCUAUUACCACCCUUUAGAAAUACUCCUGUCCCAUAGUACACUUCACAUCAGAUAUGCUUUGCUGUGUGUGCUUUCUAGCUAUGAGCUGAGUGUAUAAUUGCCAUGUGUAAGGAAGCCCAUCACUUACUCUUCUCAUUUGUCCCAUGGCUGUGCAAACCACAGCAAAAGGUAUGUUGCCUCACACGCACUGGACAAUGGUCAACAUGUACACAUUUGUGUUAAUGGAGCACUAAUCUUCACUGAUUAGUGGGCAUGUCCUAGUACCAGGCACUUUGGUAAGUCAGGGAGCUCACAACCCCGAGGAAACACAAGCCCAGCCCUCAGGAAGCUUCCUGUUUAACAGAUAACUGAGUCCCUCCCCCCUUCUCCCCACCCCUCCCCUGUGCUGUGUGAAGAGGUAGGCAAAGACCCAAUGCUGGUAAAUGUUUCUUUGUUUCCACAUCCUUGUCCUCCUAACCCUUCUUCCUUUCCCUCUUCUCUCCCCCCACCCCAGUCUCCCUCUCCCUUUCUCUUUCUCUUCCCGACAGACUCGAUUAACAAACCAAUGGUCAAACAUGAAAUGCACCCUUCUUACUGCACCCUAACUCUCCUGCCAGAUUACACAACCUUAAAAGUUAACUUUGACCCGAAGGCUGGACAGGUUCCAGGACUCUGAUGGACCUUAAAGGAAAGUUGUCUGCUUUCAUAGCAGUCAAGAUAGGUGGCUGAAUCUUCAGGACACUGAAGAAAGGGCAUUUGUUCUCUUUGAGUCCCUUUGUAUUUUCAGCUAGUGUUCCCCUUCUACCCUGUCUGACACUGUUUUUGUUCUUAUCAUAUUGCCUUUAGGACAAAGGGCAGGACAGUCCUGUUGGCCAAUCUUGAGUCUAGCAUGCUGGCUUGACUCCUGCCAACCUGAUUUCCUGGCAUGAGGAUUUUACAACAACAACAAAAAUAGUGGACUGACGUGCCACCAUCUGCCUUCUCCCUGACAAGUUCCCAGGCUUCUGUUUUUGCUGGCUCUGAGGCUUUUCUAAAAGAGAUUACAAAUAUCAAUUGAUGGACACCCAGAGACUAAGACUGAGACUGAGAUAGAGACUGGGUCUAAUCAAGAAGAACGCUGGGCUUCUGCCCAUACAGAUGUGGAAACCAGACUCUUACUGGUUGGGUGCAACUAUGAAACAUCAGGUUCUCCACGGGGAUAGGGACAUCCCUAACACCCAACUAAUCAGAUUUCUCCAGUGGUACUUUCUCACCACCCCCCCCCCCAAAAAAAAACCAGACACCUCUCUAUUUUAGUGAUCAAGAUCAUAAGAUCGCAUGUGCCUUUGCUGUCUGUUCAAUGAUGUAUUGAAAGUAUUGGAAUUAGGUGUUCCCAAUGCAGCCAUACACCGCCACCCCCAUCCCCCCUCCCCCCAUGCCUGCAACAACAAUCCAUAUGAACAGACAUGUCUAGAAAAAGCCACGCCUUUGUUGAAGAUUCUGAUUGGCUAAUUGGCUGGUUAGAAACAGCCUGUGGUGGGGAAUUGGAACUUUGCCAAUAACUAUGUCAGGAGCUAAUUCCCUCUUUCUUCUGUGUGGGUCCCAGAAAUUGAACACAGAUCCUCAGCCUGGACAGCAUCUUUACCUGCUAGCCCAGCUCUCUAGCCUUACUUCCCUUGACCACCAUUUAUCACCUACCUUUGUAUCUGACCUAACAUCCUUUCGACAUCAAGUAAAAGUUUUGUAAUGUGUUAGCUUAGACCAUGAACUUCUACCAACCCCAUAGCUAAGAUUGUCCUCAGAUAGCAUUUGAUGCUUACAGCAGAGAUUUCCUUGCUUUGCUGUAAUCUGCCUGCCUGAUUUAUUCAGUAAAUUUAUUGAUUAAUAACUUUCUUUUGUUCUACAGUUCUAAAAGGCUCACCUAACUGUUUCUAUGAUAUGACUCAUCAUUAAGGACAGCCUGGAUCUUAGCUCCUGGGCCAUGAUCACUCAUAUUUGGUUCAAAAUAAACUGUCCCUUCCCCUUUUGGAG